rnacentral:rRNA from 1 species
AAACGACUCUCGACAACGGAUAUCUCGGCUCUCGCAUCGAUGAAGAACGUAGCGAAAUGCGAUACUUGGUGUGAAUUGCAGAAUCCCGUGAACCAUCGAGUCUUUGAACGCAAGUUGCGCCCCAAGCCGUUAGGCCGAGGGCACGUCUGCCUGGGUGUCACACA